AAGUCGUAACAAGGUUUCCGUAGGUGAACCUGCGGAAGGAUCAUUAACACUUUUUGAUUGUUUUAUCCUUUUGGUGUGAGAAUUCUUGAUGUGUGAAGGCGGUCUUUUUGGACUUGCCUCUUUCAUUUUACUAAACCCAACAACAUAAAGACAAACAUGCCAAAAUAUCAAUAACGCUGAACAACUCUUAGCAACGGAUAUCUUGGCUCUC
rnacentral:misc_RNA from 1 species